rnacentral:rRNA from 1 species
AAUGUUAGCUGGACCCUGAACAUGCCUAUCUUGUCUGAUCUCGGAAGCUAAGCAGGGUCGGGCCUGGUUAGUACUUGAAUGGGAGAUCACCUAGAAAGAUCAGGUGUUGUAGGUG